GGUUCCCAUUACAUUCACAACAGACUGUAGAUUUCAACUUCGCAACAAAAGAGACACAGGUGUUUGGCAUUGGAAGAUGCGGCUUAAAGCUGUACGUCGCCUAAUAAAGCUGUUGCCUUUCCACUUUUUGUCUCCUGCGUUGAAGGGACGGAGCCCGGAGUUAUCUUAAAAGGGUGACACAAAACUGCCAGGGGUUCCAGGCUUGGAAGCUGCUUUGGGCCGAUCCUUCCGACGAAUACCUGACUGACAGGUUUUUCACCGAAGCGUUAAAAAGAAAGUCCAGGAAAAAUAAACAGCGACUUUUCCUUUUCAGUCAACAAUAGAUGGGCAUAUGAUUGAAACUGGUAAGCGGGGUUUAAUAUUUUUUUUCUCUGCACGGGCAAGCAACAAAUCUGGUGGUUUAGUAGGACUCUUUUAAACCCCGAGCGGGA